UAGGUGUCAUGUUGAUGGGAGGC
rnacentral:piRNA from 1 species